rnacentral:rRNA from 1 species
AAAUUGAAGAGUUUGAUCAUGGCUCAGAUUGAACGCUGGCGGCAGGCCUAACACAUGCAAGUCGAGCGGUAGCACAGAGAGCUUGCUCUCGGGUGACGAGCGGCGGACGGGUGAGUAAUGUCUGGGAAACUGCCUGAUGGAGGGGGAUAACUACUGGAAACGGUAGCUAAUACCGCAUAAYGUCGCAAGACCAAAGUGGGGGACCUUCGGGCCUCAUGCCAUCAGAUGUGCCCAGAUGGGAUUAGCUAGUAGGUGGGGUAAYGGCUCACCUAGGCGACGAUCCCUAGCUGGUCUGAGAGGAUGACCAGCCACACUGGAACUGAGACACGGUCCAGACUCCUACGGGAGGCAGCAGUGGGGAAUAUUGCACAAUGGGCGCAAGCCUGAUGCAGCCAUGCCGCGUGUGUGAAGAAGGCCUUCGGGUUGUAAAGCACUUUCAGCGGGGAGGAAGGCGRURAGGUUAAUAACCUYRUCGAUUGACGUUACCCGCAGAAGAAGCACCGGCUAACUCCGUGCCAGCAGCCGCGGUAAUACGGAGGGUGCAAGCGUUAAUCGGAAUUACUGGGCGUAAAGCGCACGCAGGCGGUCUGUCAAGUCGGAUGUGAAAUCCCCGGGCUYAACCUGGGAACUGCAUUCGAAACUGGCAGGCUAGAGUCUUGUAGAGGGGGGUAGAAUUCCAGGUGUAGCGGUGAAAUGCGUAGAGAUCUGGAGGAAUACCGGUGGCGAA